GACGAACGCUGGCGGCGUGCUUAACACAUGCAAGUCGAACGGAAAGGCCCUGCUUUUGUGGGGUGCUCGAGUGGCGAACGGGUGAGUAACACGUGAGUAACCUGCCCUUGACUUUGGGAUAACUUCAGGAAACUGGUGCUAAUACCGGAUAGGAGCUCCUGCUGCAUGGUGGGGGUUGGAAAGUUUCGUCGGUUGGGGAUGGACUCGCGGCUUAUCAGCUUGUUGGUGGGGUAGUGGCUUACCAAGGCUUUGACGGGUAGCCGGCCUGAGAGGGUGACCGGCCACAUUGGGACUGAGAUACGGCCCAGACUCGUACGGGAGGCAGCAGUGGGGAAUAUUGCACAAUGGGAGGAAGCCUGAUGAAGAAACGCCGCGUGCGGGAUGACGGCCUUCGGGUUGUAAACCGCUUUCGCCUGUGACGAAGCGUGAGUGACGGUAAUGGGUAAAGAAGCACCGGCUAACUACGUG
rnacentral:rRNA from 1 species